GUGGGGAAUAUUGCGCAAUGGGGGAAACCCUGACGCAGCGACGCCGUGUGAGGGAAGAAGGCUUUCGGGUCGUAAACCUCUGUCAGAAAGGAAGAACCUCCCAAGUCCGAAUAGGGCUUGGGACUGACGGUACUUUCAAAGGAAGCACCGGCUAACUCCGUGCCAGCAGCCGCGGUAAUACGGAGGGUGCAAGCGUUAAUCGGAAUCACUGGGCGUAAAGCGCGCGUAGGCCGCUUUGUAAGUCGGACGUGAAAGCCCGCGGCUCAACCGGGGAACUGCGUUCGAUACUGCGAGGCUUGAGUCCUGGAGAGGGUGGCGGAAUUCCGGGUGUAGGAGUGAAAUCCGUAGAUAUCCGGAGGAACACCGGUGGCGAAGGCGGCCACCUGGACAGGUACUGACGCUGAGGCGCGAAAGCGUGGGGAGCAAACAGGAUUAGAAACCCGGGUAGUCC
rnacentral:rRNA from 1 species